rnacentral:rRNA from 1 species
AACCUCCGCAAUGUGAGAAAUCGCGACGGGGGGAUCCCAAGUGCCAUUCUUAACGGGAUGGCUUUUCAUUAGUGUAAAGAGCUUUUGGAAUAAGGGCUGGGCAAGACCGGUGCCAGCCGCCGCGGUAACACCGGCAGCUCUAGUGGUAGCAGUUUUUAUUGGGCCUAAAGCGUCCGUAGCCGGUUUAAUAAGUCUCUGGUGAAAUCCUGUAGCUUAACUGUGGGAAUUGCUGGAGAUACUAUUAGACUUGAGACCGGGAGAGGUUAGAGGUACUCCCAGGGUAGAGGUGAAAUUCUGUAAUCCUGGGAGGACCGCCUGUUGCGAAGGCGUCUAACUGGAACGGUUCUGACGGUGAGGGACGAAAGUUAGGGGCGCGAACCGGAUUAGAUACCCGGGUAGUCCUAACUGUAAACGAUGCGGACUUGGUGUUGGGGUGGCUUUGAGCUGUUCCAGUGCCGAAGGGAAGCUGUUAAGUCCGCCGCCUGGGAAGUACGGUCGCAAGAUUGAAACUUAAAGGAAGU